rnacentral:rRNA from 1 species
AUUGAACGCUGGCGGCAUGCCUUACACAUGCAAGUCGAACGGCAGCAUGGGUGCUUGCACCUGAUGGCGAGUGGCGAACGGGUGAGUAAUGCAUCGGAACGUACCCGGAAGUGGGGGAUAACGUAGCGAAAGUUACGCCAAUACCGCAUAUUCUGUGAGCAGGAAAGCGGGGGAUCGCAAGACCUCGCGCUUCCGGAGCGGCCGAUGUCGGAUUAGCUAGUUGGCGGGGUAAAGGCCCACCAAGGCAACGAUCCGUAGCGGGUCUGAGAGGAUGAUCCGCCACACUGGGACUGAGACACGGCCCAGACUCCUACGGGAGGCAGCAGUGGGGAAUUUUGGACAAUGGGGGCAACCCUGAUCCAGCCAUGCCGCGUGAGUGAAGAAGGACCUUCGGUUGUAAAGCUCUUUCGGCUGGAAGGAAAUCGCAUCUCCUAAUACGGGGUGUGGAUGACGGUACCAGCAUAAGAAGCACCGGCUAACUACGUGCCAGACG